rnacentral:rRNA from 1 species
GACGAACGCUGGCGGCGUGCUUAACACAUGCAAGUCGAGCGGUAAGGCCCUUUCGGGGGUACACGAGCGGCGAACGGGUGAGUAACACGUGGGUGACCUGCCUCUAGCUCUGGGAUAAGCCUGGGAAGCUGGGUCUAGUACCGGAUAUGACCUCGCGGUGCAUGUUGCGGGGUGGAAAGCCUUGUGCGGCUAGGGAUGGGCCCGCGGCCUAUCAGCUUGUUGGUGGGGUGANGGCCUACCAAGGCGACGACGGGUAGCCGGCCUGAGAGGGCGACCGGCCACACUGGGACUGAGACACGGCCCAGACUCCUACGGGAGGCAGCAGUGGGGAAUCUUGCGCAAUGGGCGAAAGCCUGACGCAGCGACGCCGCGUGAGGGAUGACGGCCUGGUU